AAUUCUCUCACCUGGUCUUUUUUUUUAAUUCCCUCUCCUCGUCUAUUACUCCUUGUGUUGGAUAAGAAACUCCGUCACCUUGCAGGAAGCCACAGAGAAUGAAAAAAACAGGAGGUAUUGGAAAAUGGAUGAAGAAAUUUAACUUGUUGAUGCAUCUGUAAUGAGAACACAGAAAUAACCAUUGACUUCCAUGUUUGCUUUGGGCCAGAUGAAGGAAUUCAGAUUCUAUCCAUUAAUGACUGUGACUUUAUUUUUACUGUUCUCAUACAACUGCUUUCAGCUCUAAACUAACACCUUUCAAAUGAUGUAAACCAAUGUGAUGUGGAAAUUACUAGAAAGCAAAAGGAAUCAAGCACAGAGGAACAAUCUUUAUUCCUUUGAAAGAAGCAAUUGCAUAACUACAGAUGGAAAUUACAGAAGUCUUAUUUACCAAGGCGUUUCCCCUGUUGUUUCAAUAUUGGAAAUGAAAUCACUGUCAAGAGAGCUCUCAGAUACUACAUAUUUCAAAUGACACAGUCACUCUCAUUCUUUAUCUUCUUGCCCAGACAUAAUGCAUUUUCCACUGUUUCUAAUUCCAUUAAUGAGGAAAAAGACAUGCAAAUAAAUUCCUGUUAUAAAAAUAAUAAUGCUAUUCAGCAAACAUAUGGGUUGAAGACAAAAUAUGAUUAAAAAUAAACCAU